UACGAAGGGGGCUAGCGUUGUUCGGAUUUACUGGGCGUAAAGCGCACGUAGGCGGAUUGGUCAGUUAGGGGUGAAAUCCCAGAGCUCAACUCUGGAACUGCCUUUAAUACUGCCAGUCUCGAGUCCGGAAGAGGUAAGUGGAACUCCUAGUGUAGAGGUGGAAUUCGUAGAUAUAGGAAGAACACCAGUGGCGAAGGCGGCUUACUGGUCCGGUACUGACGCUGAGGUGCGAAAGCGUGGGGAGCAAACAGG
rnacentral:rRNA from 1 species